AAUGUGAGGUUGCACUAUUUUUGAAAAUGCUUCUGCUGCUUCUGGCCACAACUCGGUAGAAAAGCAUCAUAGAAAUAUUGUUGCUGCUCAGAGAGCAGAAGGUGUUGCCAUUGCGCACCCAUGUUUCAGUAACUGGGAGAUGUUCCAGUUUGGAAAAUACAAUGUGGACAUCAUAGAGAUGCUGAGUGGACACCAAUCCCAUCAGUUCAAAAGUCUUGGAUUAGAGCGACAACUUCAACACCAACAGCAAGUGCAACUUCACCAACACCAGUUACAGCAGCAGCAACAGCAGCAAGGUGAGACAUCUGGGUCAAUUUUGUCUGGACUUGGCUUAGGCUCACUACAAGCAUCUAGAGGCAGUGCCUUUACAGAUUCUGCAUCAAUUUUUGCAAAAAUGAGUGCACCUCCUCCAUCUCUGCCGCAGCAAUCCCUCUCUUCAUCCUCUCAAAGUUUGAGGAAAUCCAGCAAAAUGUCUGGAAGCAGCAGUAGUAGUGGUGGAGGUCAUGUGAGUGGAUAUCCCCAGUUUUUGCGCUCAUUUCACCCUUCUGAGGCAACCCUUGCACAAGAGCAGUUACAUUCAGGAGUAGGGCGAUUUGAUCAUUUUGCCAGCAAUAGUGGAAGUGGAGGUACUGGAGGGGCAAUUGGAGGACUGGUUUCAUCUGUUCCACCACCACCACCCCCAUUGCAUCCUGGCCUGUCAGUACCUCAGGCCUCCCCUGGACAACCGUCUUCCUCCCCAUCUCCUUCAAGUUCUGUUUCAACAUCCAAUAACCCUCCCAGCAGUAGUGCAGUAACUACCUUUAGUCAUCAAUUAGCAGGAUCUCAGUCUGACGCCCGAAGCCUACAUCAACAGUUUAGCUGUAUGUUAGCCGCAAAUCAGUAUUUUCUUUCCGGAGUACCAGCCAAUUCCAGUCUAGAACAAUUUUUAGUUCAGCAAGGCAGUCAUAACCAUCUUGGUCUUGGUCUGGGCCAAGCUGCAGGAGAAACAAGUUCAGCCCUUGCGCCACCCCCCGCUCUUCAUUCUUCACACACUCAUGGUCACUCAACUACUCUAUCACAGCCUCAACAGCCACCAUCACAACAGCAGCAACUGCCACCUCACACUUUGUCUCACCCUCACCCAUAUCCACACCAUCCACUGCACUCCUCAUCGCAACCUUCUUCGCUCGGAGGUUUUGACUUUCAAGGAAUUCCAGUACUCUCUUCAAACCAGCUAGCAUCUCUAAUGCAGCAGGAAGCUGGUUUGCCGCUUCCACUUCCUCUACACCUGUCUUUAACAAAAGAGGAGAGUAAAGGUGAUAGUGCUUUCGGAGGAAGUGCUGGUGGAAGGAGAAAGAAAGCCAUGGCUGGCUACCUGCCACAGAGAAAGACUGAAAGCAGCAACAACAACAGCAGCAGCCCUACAAACCCCAACAGUAGUACUUCAGGGGGACUCAACCAAGAGAACUCACCAGGCUUGGAUGGAGGUGGGGGUGUUAGUUUGUCAGGUAUUGGCAGAGACCCUUCUUCUCACCUAACCUCAUCGUCCUCUACUUCUGUUGUCUUAUCAUCUUCUGCAUCCUCUUCUACAUCAGCAUCAGUCUUGGUGACAAAUGGCUCCAAAACAGGCAGCCAUGGUACCAUACCACCUCAUUCUCAGCCUGAACAAGAACCCCUUUAUCAUUGUGGUGAGUGUGGCAAAACUUUCACACAUCUCUCUAGUCUGCGAAGGCACCUACGUAGUCAUGAGCUAACCACAGCUGGCACAAGUGGCACGAGAAGUAACAUUUUAAACCCAGUUCUGCAUCCUUCCGAUCCAAGUAUUCCCCACUCUACUCAAGAGGGCACAGCCUCAUCUUCGUGUGGCAGUCCUGACAAGACCUUUCAUUGUUCUGAGUGUGGAAAAGGUUUUAAGAAAAAGGGGCACUUACUUCAACAUGGUGUCAUCCACUCUGGCGCACGGCCCUAUGCCUGCACUACUUGUAGUCGUGCUUUCAAUCGUCGUGAGUCACUCACCCGCCAUGAAAAAAUACAUGAAGAGAAACCAUUCCGCUGUCCAGCUUGUGGUCGCUGUUUUCGGGAAAGUACAUCCCUUUUGAACCAUGCAGCCUCGGGCACCUGUGGCAAGUCAGGGCGUACACCAAGACCUAAGCAUGAAAGUAAUAUAGAAAACAGGAGCAAUAAAGCUGGGGGCUCCCAAGAUGGAAUAGCAACUAAUGCAGUGGUCUGUUAUGCAGGUUCUUACCGGAGUGAUGAUUUCAGAGAUGACUACAAGGACCAGCGCUCUCAAAGUAACUUGUAUUCUGGAAUAACCCCAUGUGGUGGUGGCAGCAUGACAGGGCCUCCACUUAGAAAGGCACCUUUAGCUCCUACUCUGCAUCCACACCCACAAAACCAAAGUCAGCAUCAUCAUCAAGAGCCACAUCUCCCGCUUUCUUCCCUGUUAGAGGAUUCUGAAGAUGAUGUAACUAGCUCUGUCAACAGUGCCAUUUCUGCUAUUACUGCUGCAGCUGCAAAUUCUAUGAGUGGUGAUCUCCAUAGUGGAGGUAGAGGAGAUGAUCGAAGAGAUAUCAUUGGUGGAUUGCUUGGAGGUCUGGGUCUAGGGCCUCUUGCCUCACCUAGUGGUCCGUUAUUAACAUCUGUCCUGGAAAAGUCCUAUAGAGGAACUACUGACUCAGGUGCAGUGACCCUCAACCAGCAAACAAAUCUGCAUGCACCUGGUGGAAAGCCCAAGCGCCCUCGUAAGCCUCGCAAGAAGAAUGAACCUGGGGUGGUUGGUGCUGAGCCUCCUAAAAGGAGGCAGCCCUCUCACAGACCAAGAGUUCCUGUUGGUGAUGUUAGACCGUAUUUGUGUAGCAUCUGUGGUCGAAGAUUUGCAAGAAAAGAGACCUUGCGGAGGCAUGACAGAGUACACACAGGAGAAAAGUCUCACCAUUGUACUGUGUGUGGCAAGUACUUCAGAGAGGCAUUUCAUCUUAGCAAGCACCACACAGUGCAUUCUGGAGAGAAGAACUACAAGUGUAUUCUAUGUGGGAAGGAGUUUGGAUAUGCUCAGAGCCUUAAAAGACAUGGCAAGCUACACCAAAAAGGAGAAAUUGAAGAAGUGCCAACAACGCCAGGUGGGGAAAACCUUAACAGCUAUCCAUCCUCAAUCCAUCCAUCCUCUGGUGGCAGCUUGAUUCAAGGGGGUCAAAACAGCUCUUCUUCAUUUUAUUCAUACACUCAAGAUGUCAAACAACAGACAACAACCACUCAGCCACCUCCUAGACUGUACACAUGUGCUAUAUGCUGGAAAUCAUUCCGCCAUCACUUUCACUUAACGGCACAUCACCAAACUGUUCAUGAGGGUGGUGGAGAAAAGCUGUUUUCUUGUGAGGUUUGUGGUAAGGCUUUUGCGUACUCUAACAGCCUUACACGACACAGGCUUUCACAGCAUGGCUUAACACGGACUGGCCAACCAGUCCCUCAGAGGAGUACAGGGGAAGACAACAGUGUUGGUGGUUCAAUAUCUGAAAGUGAAGCUGCUACAAAUGCUUUGCUUCAUAUUGCGCCACCUUGUGAAACACAUGCUGAACAACAUGGAGUUCUUCAUAGCCAGCAGGCUCCUCCCCAAACACAAGCUGGCUACUCCCCUCUGUUCUAUAUACCCAAUACCAAUGUUGCACACACUUCUUCAUCUAAUGCCUCCUCUUAUUCUCAUUCUCUGCCGUCAACUUCCUCAGGGCCUCUUCUUUGUAACCAUCAGCAACAACACAUUGGGAUAAAGGGUGAACCCAUUUAUCACACUGGUCAUGGGCAUACUCUUACUCCAAACAUACCUGUGCGUUCUCUCAUGUUGCCUCCAUCAGAUCCACAUCAGCAACACCACAACUCCCAGCAGCAUUCAGAUGAGAUUCAAUCUACACAACACCACACUUUUCAAAGCCAAGAGGAGUCGAGGAGACGGAAGAAAAAAAAAAAAAGAAUGCAAGAGAGAGAGGAGAUAGGCUACAAAUGGACCCCUGCGCAAAAAGUAGAGAAAGACCAGGUGGAGAUCUCCCUUGGGGAAAGGCAGAGAAAUAAGAGAAGAAAACUUAAGAGAAAAAGGAGAGCCAUUCACAGGACGCAACAUAAAAUUAAGAAUUGCAUGGCUGUGCUCCUGAGAAUCAGACAUGGAAGUGGAGGAAGUGCAGUGUAUGAACUGGGCCUUCCAGGUGGGCUGAAGUUUAACAGGCUUCGGUCCCUCAAAGUUCCUCAAAAACGACAGCCCUGUCCCCUUUGCCUUGGUGUUACCUUUUCUCAACAGGUAGCCCUUAAAAUUCAUAUAGCAGCUAGACAUUGUCCUAAAGUGAAAGGCCUUCAGCAUCGUUUGAAAUGUCCAGUUUGUGGAAAACAGUCUCGCAAGUUCCUUUCAGCUCUCAUUCACAGAAGCUCUCAUUUAGCCAACAGAGCUUUUUCUUGUAAACAUUGUCCAUGUCGUUUCUGGAAUGCAAUGCUCCUCACACGGCACAAGAAGGUGUGUCGAGGGACGUUGGCAAAGUUUCAACGAAAUAGGGCUCUUUGUGUUAAAUUAGUCAUGGGAUCAACAUACAGAAGGUCUGAGUGUAAAAGGAACUCCUCUUCCUUGCAUAUGGAAUAUAGUAACUAAGUUUUGCCAUUAAACUCAUUUUCAUAUGCACUUUGAGAACAGAAGUGUUGCGAUUUUCAUGAGAAGAACUGAAAAUUUUAACUGAAUACAUCUUAGGCUCAUGUAGGCAUUGACUUGUAUUUUAUGAGAGCAUUUUCAUUUCUCUCUCAUUCAUAUUAUAUUUCCUCUUGUAACUUUGACCCCUGAAAAUGAACACCUUCAACAAACUCACAGAUGUAUCAAAAACAUUUGUUUUAAUGAAAUGCUUAGCCUGCCCAUCUAUCCAAUACUCCACUGGUCUUCUAAGAGGAAACUCUUGUUCAUAUUGAAAUGAUCCUUGGCUGGCAGUAGAUUAAGUUUCUGUGAUUUGGCGAAUAUUGUACUGUGCCCUUAAAGUAGGCUAUUGCUCACCUCAACAGAUGCUCUGUAGAAUAAUUCUGUCUAUGAUAUAUAUUGUGUUGUUGGUAUUCACUUAGAGCAAGUGUGGAGAUGUGAUUUUGUUAAUGUAAAAAGUGCAUUCAGUAUCAGAAGGAGAAAAAAUGGUCCUGCUAGGAGUAUGUGUAUUUUAUUUUAAGGAGUAUUUAAAUUACUGCAUGUUGGACAUUACUGUCCAUGCGUUGAACAGUCAACAUGUGUGAUGAGUCUGUGGACUCUGAUAGUAACAUGACAAAUCCAAUUGAAGAUUUAUCUUAACUCUUAAUAGAGGAAACAUAAUAAAUGAAUGCAUAAUAAUGAUACAUGCUCAGGGCUCCAGACUAUUUGAGAGUAAAGCACUGAGCUUGAGUUGGCAAGCAUACAACAUUUACUUUUAUUAACGACAGUUAUGUGCAAAAUUAAAUAUUUUAUGGAAAAUGUAUAUAUUCCAUUCUUAUUAUGGUUAUCAAAGGAGAGCUCUUUACUUGCUUUGUGUGAUUCAGUAGCAAAUUUAAGAAAAGUUUGUUUUUCAUAUACAAAAGAAAAUGCAAAAGAGUAGAAAUCAAUAACUAAUGAGCAAAAAAGUGAUUAUCUUCUGCCAUCUACUGGUUACAAUGUUGGUUUUGGGUUUAGUUACUCUAUAAUAAUCGUUUGUUUAUCACAAAGUAAAAUGUGGACAUCCCAUUAAAAUCAAAUUUAAAUUGGAUCAUUUUUAGAGCUUUAAAGUGCUGUAAAUUGUUGUGUUAAAUACUUGAAAGUCAUUGAAAAGUGCUUGAACUCUCUCUCAAAAGGUUGUACAAACCUUACAAUUGAUAAUAAAAAUAACAUUUGACUGCCUGCCACAACACCAUGGUUAUAGUUAGAGUUACUACUUCUGAUUUUCAAUGUCAGCACUGUUUGAUCACUUUAUAACAAACGCUUCUCAUUGGAUCUCGCAGUGCUGUGCAUAUAAAUUCUGGUUCCCGAGUAAACCUCUGAGCUUCUGAGUUUGUGUAGCGCUCAGUUUUUGGUCCGAGCUGAUAAACGUUUUGUUAUGCAUUUGCCGUUUGAUGUUUCUCAUAUGCAACAGAAAUGGCAGUUGAGCAACGCCGUGGUCGCACCAGUGGUCAAAAAUGGUCGCAGUCUGGAGCCCUGAUGCUGGUGGACAAUUCUUAAUAUCAAAUGUGAGCCCUGUUUUGAUUUAUUUACUGUUCUUAAAGAAAACCAUCAUAAAGAAGGUAAUGCCAGAAUUUAACAAAAAAAUGUUUUCCCUACAUAGCCAGUCAAAGAACAAAAAAUUUAAUACUGUCAGAUUAUUUAAUUAUCUCAGAUUGUUACAGUUAAAACACAUUUAU